rnacentral:rRNA from 1 species
AUUGAACGCUGGCGGAAUGCUUUACACAUGCAAGUCGAACGGCAGCACGGGGGCUUGCUCCUGGUGGCGAGUGGCGAACGGGUGAGUAUUGUAUCGGAACGUACCCAGUCGUGGGGGAUAACUCUCCGAAAGGAGAGCUAAUACCGCAUACGUCCUGAGGGAGAAAGCGGGGGACCUAAGGGUAACUGAGGGCCUCGCGCGAUUGGAGCGGCCGAUAUCGGAUUAGCUAGUUGGUGGGGUAAAGGCUCACCAAGGCGACGAUCCGUAGCGGGUCUGAGAGGACGACCCGCCACACUGGAACUGAGACACGGUCCAGACUCCUACGGGAGGCAGCAGUGAGGAAUAUUGGUCAAUGGGCGCAAGCCUGAACCAGCCAUGCCGCGUGCAGGAUGAAGCAUCUAUGGUGUGUAAACUGCUUUUGUACGGGAAGAAACCCUUGCUUGAGAGCAAGAUUGACGGUACCGUAAGAAUAAGGAUCGGCUAACUCCGUG